AGAGUUUGAUCCUGGCUCAGGAUGAACGCUAGCGGCAGGCUUAACACAUGCAAGUCGAGGGGUAACAGGGAGCUUGCUCCGCUGACGACCGGCGCACGGGUGCGUAACGCGUAUACAAUCUACCUUUUACUGAGGGAUAGCCCGGAGAAAUCCGGAUUAAUAACUCAUAGCAUUUCGAAACCGCAUGGUUAUGAAAUUUUAAAGAUUACGGUAAAAGAUGAGUAUGCGUCCUAUUAGCUUGAUGGUAAGGUAACGGCUUACCAUGGCUACGAUAGGUAGGGGGCCUGAGAGGGUGAUCCCCCACACUGGUACUGAGACACGGACCAGACUCCUACGGGAGGCAGCAGUGAGGAAUAUUGGACAAUGGACGAGAGUCUGAUCCAGCCAUGCCGCGUGCAGGAAGACUGCCCUAUGGGUUGUAAACUGCUUUUAUACGGGAAGAAACACCCCCACGUGUGGGGGCUUGACGGUACCGUAAGAAUAAGGAUCGGCUAACUCCGUGCCAGCAGCCGCGGUAAUACGGAGGAUCCAAGCGUUAUCCGGAAUCAUUGGGUUUAAAGGGUCCGUAGGCGGUCAAUUAAGUCAGAGGUGAAAGCCUGCAGCUCAACUGUAGAAUUGCCUUUGAUACUGGUUGUCUUGAAUUAUUGUGAAGUGGUUAGAAUCAGUAGAGUAGCGGUGAAAUGCAUAGAUAUUACAUAGAAUACCAAUUGCGAAGGCAGAUUACUAACAAUAUACUGACACUGAUGGACGAAAGCGUGGGUAGCGAACAGGAUUAGAUACCCUGGUAGUCCACGCCGUAAACGAUGGAUACUAGCUGUUGGGCUUCGGCUCAGUGGCUAAGCGAAAGUGAUAAGUAUCCCACCUGGGGAGUACGUUCGCAAGAAUGAAACUCAAAGGAAUUGACGGGGGCCCGCACAAGCGGUGGAGCAUGUGGUUUAAUUCGAUGAUACGCGAGGAACCUUACCAGGGCUUAAAUGUAGAUUGACAGGUUUAGAGAUAGACUUUUCUUCGGACAAUUUACAAGGUGCUGCAUGGUUGUCGUCAGCUCGUGCCGUGAGGUGUCAGGUUAAGUCCUAUAACGAGCGCAACCCCUGUUGUUAGUUGCCAGCGAGUCAUGUCGGGAACUCUAACAAGACUGCCAGUCCAAACUGUGAGGAAGGUGGGGAUGACGUCAAAUCAUCACGGCCCUUACGUCCUGGGCUACACACGUGCUACAAUGGUAGGUACAGAGAGCAGCCACUGCGCGAGCAGGAGCGAAUCUAUAAAACCUAUCACAGUUCGGACCGGAGUCUGCAACUCGUCUCCGUGAAGCUGGAAUCGCUAGUAAUCUGAUAUCAGCCAUGAUCCGGUGAAUACGUUCCCGGUCCUUGUACACACCGCCCGUAAAGCCAUGGAAGUUGGGAGUGCCUGAAGUCCGUCACCGCAAGGAGCGGCCUAGGGUAAAAUCGAUAACUAGGGCUAAGUCGUAACAAGGUAGCCA
rnacentral:rRNA from 1 species